rnacentral:rRNA from 1 species
CCUACGGGAGGCAGCAGUGAGGAAUAUUGGUCAAUGGGCGCGAGCCUGAACCAGCCAAAUCGCGUGAAGGAUGACUGCCCUAUGGGUUGUAAACUUCUUUUGUAAAGGAAUAAAGCCAGGCACGUGUGCCUGUUUGUAUGUACCCUAUGAAUAAGGAUCGGCUAACUCCGUGCCAGCAGCCGCGGUAAUACGGAGGAUUCGAGCGUUAUCCGGAUUUAUUGGGUUUAAAGGGUGCGUAGGGGGGUCGUUAAGUUAGUGGUGAAAGUCUGGGGCUCAACCCUAAAAUUGCCUUUGAUACUGGCAGCCUGGAGUUGGGUGGAGGUAGGCGGAAUGCGUGGUGUAGCGGUGAAAUGCAUAGAGAUCACGAAGAACUCCGAUUGCGAAGGCAGCAUACUGAACUGCCACUGACGUUGAGGCACGAAAGCGUGGGUAUCAAACAGGAUUAGAUACCCGGGUAGUC